rnacentral:rRNA from 1 species
UACGUAGGGUGCGAGCGUUGUCCGGAAUUAUUGGGCGUAAAGGGCUCGUAGGCGGUUUGUCGCGUCGGGAGUGAAAAUCCAGGGCUUAACUCUGGACUGGCUUCCGAUACGGGCAGACUAGAGGUAUGCAGAGGAGAACGGAAUUCCUGGUGUAGCGGUGAAAUGCGCAGAUAUCAGGAGGAACACCGGUGGCGAAGGCGGCCUGCUGGGCAGUUUCGUGACACUGAGGCGCGACAGCGUGGGGAGCAAACAGG